CCGCGAAUCGCCCUUCGGGGUGCAGCAGGCGCGAAAACUUUACAAUGCUGGCAACAGCGAUAAGGGGACCUUGAGUGCCAGGAUACAAUCCUGGCUGUCGUGAUGCCUAAAAAGCAUUAUAUAGCAAGGGCCGGGCAAGACCGGUGCCAGCCGCCGCGGUAACACCGGCGGCUCGAGUGGUAACCGCUAUUAUUGGGUCUAAAGGGUCUGUAGCCGGCUUGGUUAGUCUCUUGGGAAAUCCGGCAGCUUAACUGUCGGGCUUUCAGGAGAUACUGCCAGGCUCGAGACCGGGAGAGGUGAGAGGUACUUCAUGGGUAGGGGUGAAAUCUUGUAAUCCUUGAAGGACCACCAGUGGCGAAGGCGUCUCACCAGAACGGAUCUGACGGCAAGGGACGAAAGCUAGGGGCACGAACCGGAUUAGAUACCCGGGUAGUCCUAGCCGUAAACGAUACUCGCUAGGUGUCGGCCACGGUGCGACCGUGGUCGGUGCCGUAGGGAAGCCGUGAAGCGAGCCACCUGGGAAGUACGGCCGCAAGGCUGAAACUUAAAGGAAUUGGCGGGGGAGCAC
rnacentral:rRNA from 1 species